ACCCGCUGAACUUAAGCAUAUCAGUAAGCGGAGGAAAAGAAACUAACUAGGAUUCCCCGAGUAGCGGCGAGCGAAAAGGGAGGAGCCCAGCGCCGAAGCCCGCGGCCUCCGGUCGCAGUGCAAUGUGGCGUUUCGGCGGCGUCUCGCCGCGGCAUCUCUGGCACGCGUACCUCUGAAUGGGUCUGCCCGCAGCGGGUGUCAGGCCUCUACUUGCCAAACGAGUUGCCGUGGCCCGACGUCCGUCGCGGAGUCGGGUUGCUUGAGAGUGCAGCCCAAAGUGGGUGGUAAGCUCCAUCUAAGGCUAAAUACCUAGUGCGAGACCGAUAGCAAACAAGUACCGUGAGGGAAAGUUGCAAAGAACUUUGAAAAGAGAGUUCAAGAGUACGUGAAACCGUUCAGAGGCAAACGGACGGAACUGGGCGAGUUCGCCGCCGUCAUUCAGCCGUCGCUCCGGCGGCGGUGCACUUGGCGGCGGCGGAGCUCGACGACCGCCUGUCGGGUCGUCGUAAGCCCGGCGGCAAGGUGGCGACGCGCUUGCGCGUCGUGUUACAGGCCGUCGCGGCGUUGGCUGACCUGGCGGGCGAGGAGCGCCUGCGGUGCACUCCCUGCGCGGGAGUGACCCGUCGCGGUGGGCUUGCGGGCGCCGGCGACGAACUGCGUGCAGUUCGCCGUCGCGUCGAUCCGUUUGUCGCGCCGCGCGGUGUCACGCGGCACCCAGGGUCCGGGUCGAGUGGUUCCUGGCACUCCGUCCGACCCGUCUUGAAACACGGACCAAGGAGUUGAGCACGCGCGCGAGUCGAUGGGCUCCAAGAACCCCAGUGGCGCAGCUAAGGCAAAACGGGCGUGAUCCGGCACUGGCGUGUCGGCGCAACGCCGGCCCGCAGCUGACUCGAUGCGAGUGGCUGCGGCGCAAGAGCGUGCGUGCUCAGACCCGAAAGGUGGUGAACUAUGCUUGAGCAGGGCGAAGCCAGAGGAAACUCUGGUGGAGGCUCGCAGCGAUCCUGACGUGCAAAUCGGUCGUCAAACUUGAGCAUAGGGGCGAAAGACUAAUCGAACCGCCUAGUAGCUGGUUCCCUCCGAAGUUUCCCUCAGGAUAGCUGGCACUCGGGAUAAAUGGUUUUAUCCGGUAAAGCGAAUGAUUAGAGGCAUUGGGGACGAAACGUCCUCAACCUAUUCUCAAACUUUAAAUGGGUAAGAGGCGCGGCCCUUCCUGAUCGGGGCCGCGUGCUUGAACAGAGAGUGCCCAGUGGGCCGUUUUUGGUAAGCAGAACUGGCGCUGUGGGAUGAACCAAACGUGCGGUUAGGGUGCCUAACGCACGCUCAUGAGAUACCACAAAAGGUGUUGGUUGAUAUAGACAGCAGGACGGUGGCCAUGGAAGUCGGAAUCCGCUAAGGAGUGUGUAACAACUCACCUGCCGAAUCAACUAGCCCUGAAAAUGGAUGGCGCUGGAGCGUGCGACCCAUACCGCACCGUCGGGGCAAUGCGUGCGAAAUGCCAGGCCCCGACGAGUAGGAGGGCGUGUCGGUGGCGUUGAAGCGUAGUGCGCGAGCACGCGUGGAGCCGCCUUCAGUGCAGAUCUUGGUGGUAGUAGCAAGUAUACAAAUGAGAACUUUGUAGACCGAAGUGGAGAAGGGUUCCAUGUGAACAGCAGUUGGACAUGGGUCAGUCGGCCCUAAGAGAUCGGAGAACUCCGUUCUGAACGGGGGAGGCUCGUGGCUCGCGUGCGCGCCGUCAAAACGGAAUUGACGGACUGUAUGGAAUUGACGGAGAGCGGUGUGCACGCGUGGCCGGCGGGUUGGCUGCCCCCGAUGCGAUCGAAAGGGAAUCGGGUUAAUAUUCCCGAACCUGGCAGUGGAGAUUGGGCCUUCGGGCCCCAGUGCGGUAACGCAACCGAACUCGGAGACGCCAGCGUCGAUCCCGGGAAGAGUUCUCUUUUCUUUGUUAGGAGCGGACUCCCUGGAAUUGGCUUGUCCAGAGAUAGGGACGUUGCAUCCGUAAAGCGUCGCGCCUCACGCGGCGUCCGGUGCAUCGGCGUUGGCCCUUGAAAAUCCGAGGGAGGCAGUGUGAUUUUCACUCCAGGCCGUACCCGAAUCCGCAGCAGGUCUCCAAGGUGAACAGCCUCUGGUCGAUAGAACAAUGUAGGUAAGGGAAGUCGGCAAAUCCGAUCCGUAACUUCGGGAUAAGGAUUGGCUCUGAGGUGCGGGCUGCUUCGGGUCGCGGCAAGAAGCGGACCGCGCGUCGGUAGGACUGGACGCGCUUCGGCGCGUUCGGACCGCCGCCGGCGUGCGUCCGUGGGAGGCCGUGGCUUUCGCCGGCGUUGGCUCUUCGGGGCCGGCGUCGGCUUCGUUCGGCCUAAACGCACAGCACAGAACUGGCACGGACUCUGGGAACACGACUGUCUAAUUAAAACAAAGCAUCGCGAUGGCCGCUGGUCGGUGUUGACGCGAUGUGAUUUCUGCCCAGUGCUUUGAAUGUCAAAGUGAAGAAAUUCAACCAAGC
rnacentral:rRNA from 1 species